CUUAACCACUGAGCCACAUCCCCAGCUUUUUUUUGUUUUUUAUUUUGAGACAGGUUCUCACUAAAUUGCUUAGGGCUUUACUAAGUUGCAGAGGCUGGCUUUGAACUUUUACCUCCUGUCUCAUUCUCCUGAGUCACUGGAAUUACAGGCAUGUGUUACCAUGCCAGACCCCAUGGAAUAUUCUUAAAAACAGCUUGGAACCAUAGAGGGAACCCAGGGUUAGUGGUGACAGGCCUUGAAUGAUAGUUUUGACUCAUUGCAUACAGCUUUGUGCUCUCUGCCUCAGUUUCCUCAAAUGUAAAAUGAGAUCAAUCAAUAUCUACUUUAUACAGGAUUCUAUGAGCACUAUUCUCAGGCUUCCAGACCAGAGCCUAGCACAUGUGAAAUAGUGCAGCUUUACUUCACUUCUUUAUUUUUUAAUUCACUAACUGUAUAACUGGGGCAAGUCACACUUCUCUGAACUUCAGUGAUGAAUAGUUCACCAAGUUUUAAGAAUCAAGUGUGAAGUAUUUGGGUAAGAAAUUGUCAUCAACCCAGAUGCUUCAGCUAGGUGAGAAUUAUUUGUCUGCUUCUGCCUCCUUGUAGCCCACCUCCCAGGCUACCACUACUCAGAGACCUCAGAUACUUGGAGGACUCCUUUACUGAAGUGAAGGCUUCAUGCACCAGGACCAAAAUUCUUUCCACACUCUAUUCCUAGACUUCUGCCUGGUCCCUGGGGACCAAGUCUAAAGGUGAGCCUGGGUAGAAACCAGGGAUCUGGGAAGUAAAGGACAGAGAUAUCUCAACAAGUCAGAUCCUGUAGCUGUGGCCCCUAGCUGGGCGUGGGGGCUGCUUUGAUCAGGGUGUGAGCUGCAGGACAGUCUGUGCCUGGGUGGGGUAGUCUGGGAACCUUGAUAAGUAGACAUUAUGUUAUCAGGGUGGGGCCCAGCACCUUCUGCAUAUCAGGAGCCAUCAUGGCCCAGAGCAGGACCUUAGAAUGCUUUCCCACCCAGGUCUGUCUUCCAGGAUGACUGUUCUUUCAUUCCUCUGCCUCCCUAGUACCUCACACCUGAAUAUACAUAGACAUACAUACCUGCAGAACAUACACAGAUAUGUAUGUGUACAAUGCCCAUAUAUAUAGAAAUUCAUAACAUACCCACUAAAAAAAUAGAUUCUGCCAGCAAAAUUACUCUUGUAAAUAAGAGUAUAAUUAUAAAGCAACUUGUGAUUGUUUUAUAGUUUGCCCAGGUAGGAGCUGUGGUGCACACUUGCAAUCCUAGCUACUUAGAGACUGAGGCAAGAUAAUUGGAAUUUUGAAGUCAGCCUGGGAAAUUUAGAAUAGAAUAAAUAGAAGAUUUUUAUAAAAAGAGCAUGAGAGGGCUGGGGAUAUUGCUCAGUUGGUGGAGUGUUUGUCUCGUAAUACACAAGGCCAUGGUUUCAAUCCCUAGCACCAUACAAAAAAAGAGCAUGAGUGAUGUAGCUCAGAUGUAGGACACUUGCCCUGGGUUUGAAGCCCUGGGUUUGAUCCCUAUUGCUGCAGGAAAGCAAAAAAAAAAAAAAAAAAAAAGAUCAUUUAAUGCUUUUACUUAUUCAAUGUCUCAUUCAUGGCAUCAUGGCACAGUCAAUAUCAAACAUCAAGGACUUUGAGAAGCUCUGGGGGUUCUUGCUCUCCUGUUGUGCUUUAGAUAUACAGGAUCCAAAGCAAGAGCCUGGUGUGGAUCUAGGAGUCAACAUAAUAUGGAAAAAAGCACAAGUUUAGCAUUCAGGAGGCUCUGGGUUUGGGCUGGGGAUGUGGCUUAGGUGAAGUGCUUGCCUAAUACAUGCAAGGUCAUAGAUCGGUUCCAUCCCCAGCCCUGCAGGGGGUGGGGAACCUAGAAAACUGCUAAUUCUAACUCUCCCUGUGAUACAGGGGGGUUGGGAUUUGGGGGUGGGGUGUCAGAGAUGAGUGUUGAGGGUUGCCUGUUUAUCCCAGCCCUGGUUCGUCUCCCUCCCCACUGCCCCUGACCUCUGCCAGGUACUGGGGUUUGAAUCUAGUGAUGUUCUUCUACUGAGGUAUAUCCCCAGACCUAUUUAUUUUAUUAUUUUUUGGCACUGGAAAUAGAACCUAGGGGUGCUUUACCACUUAGCUACAUCUCCAGCCUUUUUAAUUUUUAUUAUUUUUUUAUAUUUAUGUUUUAGGUAAACACAAUAUUUUUAUUUUACAUUUAUGUGGUGCUGAGGAUCGAACCCAGUGUCUCAUGUAUGCUAGGCAAGCACUCUACCACUGAGCCACAAUAUCAGCCCCCCCAGCCUUUUUUAUUUUGGGAUAGUUCUCAUAAAGUUGCUUAGGGCCUCACUAAAUUGCUGAGGUUGGCCUUGAACUUUCGAUCUUUCUGCCUCAGCCUCCUCAGAUGCUAGCCUUACAGGUGUGCACCACUGUGCCCAGAUCUCCCAUGUCCUUUUUUUUUAUUAUUAUUAUUUUAAUUUUUUUGGUAGUUGUAAGUGGACAGAAUGCGUUUAUUUGUUUAUUUUUAUAUGAUGCUGAGGAUCGAACCCAGUGCCUCACACAUGCUAGGCAAGCACUCUGCCACUGAGCCCCAGCCCCAGCCCUCCCCCAUGUCUUUUAAGCCUCUUCCAGUGCUGCUGGUAACCAGCUACAAGCCAGGAACAAUCCUCUCUUCUUUACCGGAACAACUUUGGCUUGUAAACUCCUCAUGGAACUUCUCCAUCCUGAACUUACAGGCCAUUCUUGGCUUGAACCAGAGAUUCAGCCUUCACAGUUCAGAGGUUGUGCCUUAGAGUUCUUGUUUGUUUUUCAGACCACCUCUCCCGGAUGGACUCAGAGCCAGAAGGAGAAAAGCACAGGUGCAGAUUUGCCAGUUUGGGUUCCACCGCUGCUUGCUGAGUGGCCCUGGGCCCUGGCCCUGAUCUUGCAGCCUUGGCUUCCUCAUCAGAAAAAUUGGAUUGAAAUUUUCCAUGAUUAUUGUGAAGAUGAAAUGAGAUAGUAAAGGGGCUGGGUAUGUGGCUCAAGCCGUAGCACGCUCGCUUGGCAUGCGUGCGGCACGGGUUUGAUCCUCAGCACCACAUACAAACAAAGAUGUUAUGUCCGCCGAGAACUAAAAAUUAAUAUUAAAAAAUUCUCUUUCUCUCUCUCUUAAAAAAAAAAGAAAUUUCCUACUAUUUUAAAAAAAAAAGAUGUUGUGUCCACCGAAAACUAAAAAAUAAAUAUUAAAAUUCUCUCUCUCUCUCUUUAAAAAUAAAGAAAUUUCCUACUAUUUUAAAAAAAAGAUGUUGUGUCCACCGAAAACUAAAAAAUAAAUAUUAAAAUUCUCUCUCUCUCUCUCUUUAAAAAAAAAAAAAGAGGGGAGGGGAGAGGAGGGGAGGGGGGAUAGUAGAGGAUAGGAAAGGUAGCAGAACACGACAGUCACUAGUAUGGCAAUAUGUAGAUCAAUGGAUGUGUAAUUGAUGUGAUUCUGCAAUCUGUAUAUGGGCUAAAAAUGGGAGUUCAUAACCCACUUGAAGCAAAGUGUGAAAGAUGAUAUAUCAAGAACUAUGUAAUGUUUUGAACAACCAACAAUAAAAAAAAAUUAAAAAAUAAAUAAAUGAGAUAGUAAAGA
rnacentral:lncRNA from 1 species